GUCAGGAGUAAAUCACAUGACUGACACAAAGCCGUGAUGCACCAUGGGUACUGGAGUCUUCGCGGCAGAGACGACGUCAACCGUCGAAAUGAGGAGAAGUGACACUAAUUCAAGACAAAGAACAGACAUUCAUGGAUUAGGUUUCCAAAUGAGUCCCUCAGAUAUGAGUCAAGUCUCCUGGACCUUCUUCAUCUUGCUGACGGCUGCUUGCCAGAGUCCAGAUGAAUGCCAAAGCUCCCUCCAGGAUCCGAUGAUUACAGGGCAGCUGAGCAAGCCGCUGCUUUCCCUGCGCAGCGACAUGAGCGCAGCAGAACUCCGGGCGGACGACAAAGCAGCCACUUCAGACAGCGAUCUGAACGACGAGCCCCUGCUUCUGCCCUCCGAGGCCACGGACAGAGAGGGCACUCCCAACAAGCUGUAUGGAGCUCGUGACGGUUCAGUCCAGUCCGACGCCAGCAGCAGUCCCUCUGAGCAGAGCCAACUGGGCCAGUCCCACCCAGGAUAUCCAAUGGGUCCACAGUCUCUCCUGGUGGCCCAGCAGCUUGCCAACGCAGUCGGUGGCGUGAUGUCCGGGGCGGCGCCAGGCAUGAACCAGCCCAUCCUCAUCCCCUUCAACGCAGGCGGACAUCUGGGCGGGCAGCAGGGCCUCGUCCUCUCCCUGCCCACAGCCAACAUCCAGAGCCUGGUGGCUGCUGCUGCUGCAGGGGGCAUCAUGACGCUCCCCCUCCAGAACCUGCAAGCUACCUCAUCACUGAACUCCCAGCUCCAACACCUGCAGCAGCUCCAGCAGAUGCAGCAGCACCACCACCAGCAGCAGCAACAGCAGCAACAUCAGCAGCAACAGCAGCAACACCAUCACCAACAGACCCACUCCCACACCCAGAACCAGUUGUCAUCCCAGCAUCACAUGACCCCACCCAGCCAGCAGCAGACCUCCGUCCCGUCUCCUGGCUCUGCCUGCUCCUCCACCUCUGGACACCCACAGCAGUCCCCGCCGCACCGGCCCAACCAGUCGCCGGCUCGUAGCCUCCCUUCGCCCGUCACUCCGCCCAUGUCAUUGCCGCUGAAUCCGCUGGCCAGCCAGGUAGCAGCAGCAGCAGCCAUGGGAUCCAUCGCCAGUUCUCAAGUGUUUGGAAACACCCUGUCGAACCUGCAGGGAGCCACCGGACAGCUGGUCACCAACGCACAAGGACAGAUAAUUGGAACAAUCCCACUGAUGCCCAACUCUGCAGGGCCCUCCAGCCAAUCAGGGGGUGGCAACCCAGCACUGCAGGUACAGCCAAUUACACCUCAGCUUCUGACCAACGCUCAAGGCCAGAUCAUCGCCACGGUGAUCGGCAAUCAGAUCCUGCCUGUCAUCAACACCCAGGGAAUCACGCUGUCACCAAUCAAGCCUGGACAGCAGCAGCAGGGUCAGACAGGCCCAGCGUCGUCUCAGCCCAACCUGCUCCACAUGCCCCACAGACAGAGUCCUCUCCACCAGGCCUCUUCCUCCUCCUCCACCUCCUCCUCUUCCUCAGCUCUCAGCGUGGGGCAGCUGGUCAGCAACCCUCAGACCGCCCCCAGCGAGGUGGACGGGGUCAACUUGGAGGAGAUUCGUGAAUUUGCCAAAGCAUUCAAGAUCCGCCGGCUGUCCCUGGGCCUGACACAGACUCAGGUGGGCCAGGCGCUCAGCGCCGCCGAGGGGCCGGCGUACAGCCAGUCUGCCAUCUGCAGACACACCAUCCUGAGAAGCCACUUUUUCCUACCACAGGAAGCCCAAGAGAACACUAUAGGUAACAGUCUGACAGGCAAACUGAACCCUGGCCUUUUAUAUCCUGCCAGGUUUGAGAAGUUGGACAUCACCCCUAAAAGCGCCCAGAAGAUUAAGCCCGUUCUGGAGCGCUGGAUGGCCGAGGCUGAAGCCCGCCACCGAUCCGGCAUGCAGAACCUGACUGAGUUUAUCGGCAGCGAGCCUUCCAAAAAACGCAAGCGGAGGACCUCUUUCACCCCGCAGGCGCUCGAGAUCCUCAACAGCCACUUUGAGAAGAACACGCACCCCUCUGGACAGGAAAUGACGGAAAUAGCCGAGAAACUGAACUAUGACAGGGAGGUGGUGCGUGUCUGGUUCUGCAACAAGAGGCAAGCCUUGAAAAACACAAUAAAGCGUUUGAAACAGCCCGACCUCGGCCCGGCUGCACCAAUGGACCCUCUCACUGAUUCUCUAGAGGAGCUCCCGAAAUGAACGAGCCCCCUCCGACUAAAAGAGAGGAGUGGAAAAGUGGCAGCCAUUAAAAACAACAAAAGGUAUUUAUUAAGAAUCUCAUGAGAUCGCUUCAGAGGACGGACGCAGGGAGGGUCAAAACAAGGACUUUCACAUGAUGAUGAUGAUGAUGAUGAGGAGGAGGAGGAGGAGGAGGAGGGUGAUGAUGACGAGGGGUUUCAGUGUCUGUCAAGUCUACUGCAGCUUUGUUUUGAGCUACUGUGUCAUUCUGUUGCCAAAGCCUGAUAGCCAAAGAACACAUAAAUUUCAGCUCAAGGACUGGUGAUGAUUUUACCUUUUUAUUUAUUUGUUCCUGUGGCUUUCUCCCCCCUUUUUCUAAAGUGUUUCACUCUGUGGGUCAAGCUAUCAAAAAAAAACAAAAAAAGGAACACUAUCAUGUCAAACAGCUGCGACCGUGUCUGCUGUAAUCACGGCAAUAUAGAUGUUGGAUGAAUUUACUUUUGAGCAAAUUUGCCUCUGCAUGCUUCAACUCAAACCACAUGAAGACAGAUUAUUAAAAGAUAAGUUUCACAGAAAAUUAACACAUUAUUUUCCAUGAUUAACCCUCUAAUCAAGCCCUGAAAUUAAGCCAAUGUGUGUGGUCGAAGCCUGUUUUGUUGCCACUGACCAAAACUCCUAAACUCUUCCCCGUUCAGCUGUUUUUAUGAUUUCAAUAUUUCAACUCAAAUAUGAAGAAAGUCUUCAUAUUCUGCAGCUAAGUGAAGGUUUACAGACGCUACAAUCAGUGGAUGUGUUUUUUCCUCACCGUGAAUUGAUUUCUGCCACAGAAAAAAAUGCUUAAAAAGGUUCAUUUCAAGCCGAUUUUCUUAAAGAUUUUGUAUAUUCUUGUUAAUGUUUUGAAUUAAUUUCAGUCGACUGAUGUUAAGAUUCAUUUACUCUCCAUCACUGUUUACUGAAGUCAUCAUUUCACAUGACGCUGUCAGACGAGAACCUCCCAGACCGUCAUUUCCGAAUACUCGGCUCUCACAAAAAAAAAACCUCACAGGGAAAAAAAAAAAAAGAAAGAGGUGAAUGUUGAGAAUAAGUGUCACAUGUCAGAACGAGUGAACUUAAUUUGAAGUGAGGUGAAAUUUGAUGCAAUUUAUUCAGAAUCAUGUGUCUGCUCGAUAUCUGUCCUUCCAUGUCACAUUGGUUAUCUCUCAGUCCCCCGUGCACUGCUGUGUUCUUCUUCACUGCCUGUAAAACACACACACGCACACACACACUUGGUAAAUGUUAAAUAACACAUAAAGAAGCUUCACAUGUCUGUUUUUUAAUAGAAGAAAGUGAGUUUUGCAGGAGAGGCACACAGAGGCUUUUCAUAUAAUUUCAUUUUCAUUUAAUUUCCACGGCAAAAAGACUCAUUACCUUAUUUUUCUGUAUUUGCACCUUUUUACGUUAAUUCCAAUAUUACAUUCAGGCAAAUCAUUGGCCGAGAGACUACAUGUCUGUGUCCACCGGCCAGAUAAAGAUAUAAAGAGAAAGCAGCAGGCUCCUGCAGGUAGAAUAUGGAUCUGUUUUUUGAAGCUUAAGAAAUAAAAGCUGUAACCAAAAUCAAAAAAAAAAAAAAAAGAAGACACAGAAAAGGGCCUUCGCUCAACUCUUCAAUGCUGGACCAAAGCUCUAUAGUUAUGCACAUUGUACAGAGAAAUAGAUUCAUGAUGUUGACAAUCUUUUAAAAAUCCGAGAUAAAAGAAUUGAAGAGUAGAAAAUGUACAGUAGUUCAUCCAAGGUUUACCUCAGUACUGUUCUUGUGAGAAUCAUACAAAUGCCAUACAAGCAGCAGCAGGUCGGCAGAAAAAAAAAAAGACAGAUGAUUACUCUGCACUGUGCGUGUGUGUCGAUGUUCACCUUCGAAGUGGAGGGAGAGGCUUGUGUUUUAUUUAUUAUUAUGUGACACAUGAUUGUUUUAUUUUUCGUGAAGUGGUUUCCUCGAGCCACAUGUGACUCUCUGGUCAUCUGUUUUUUAUUACGAUUGCAUUAUUUCUCAUUCGUUUGUGGCGUUCACCUCUUAGUUUUUUUUUCCCCCCCACAGACCUGUAGACCCAGCGUAGAGGAGAAAAAGGAGAUUACGGCGAUGUUGCUCUUAACCCAAUUAGGAUGAUUUGUGAAUCACCUUUAAAUGCUUUUUUUUGUGGAAUUUUACUAACACAAACAAAACCGGUUUGACGUUUUUGUUAAUAGUCGAAGAACUCGAAACCAAAGCUGAAGAGCCUGCAGAGGUUGGUUUUCAUUUUUUUAUAGACUGAAAACUGUACUUAAUCUAUAGAGCAAUAUCUGUUUGGUCAGUUAAGCAGCACUUUGUGUAUUUCCAAAAAAAAAAAAAAAAAAG